UGUGAAGAUGAAUACUUUGCAAAUGUGCU
rnacentral:piRNA from 1 species